ACGUAGAUUUAUUUUCAGUUAUAAUACAAUUGUAAGCAUAUGAAAACGAAUAGCAUCCUUAAGAAAAACCUUGUUUUAAUUUGCAACUUAAAUACAAAUUAUAAGAAAUGUCUACAAGCAAAUAAUCGAAUUCCUUGAUUAAUCAACUUUAUCUCUAAUUGGAAAAUUCAUAUGAUGUCGUAGUGAUACAGAGCACAAAAUAUCACACUCCGUACAAAAGACUACGUGUUUUUGUUUUUUUAGGAAUUCCGGUAACUUGUACAUUUUUAUCUUACAGUUUUUAAAACUUAUAUAAUGGUUAGGGUUAUAAUGUUAUAAAAUUGAAAAUGAGACUUUUUAAUGUGUAUCGAAGUGUUUAGUCCGAGUAAGGCCACGCAAGCGGCAGUUACCGCGAGAGUCAAGAAAACAGCCAGGCCAAUAAAGCAAUAUAUCAAAACAGCCUGAGCCUCUGGGCAGCGUGAAAAUGAACAAUAAAUUACAAUUUACCGCGUCUGAACCAAUCCACGUACCUACUUUUCUACGCGUUGUAAAAUUUGGCGUAAAGUAAUUUCACACCAAAAAUAUUAUAUUGAAAAUCAUACUUCCUUCCUUUCAUACAAAAAUAAAACGUGAUAAACAGGAUAAAUGGUAUCAUGAUAAAUCUGAUCGUAUUUUGAUCAUUAAUAUAGUUGCAAAUGUAAUAUUUGCGAAUAUAAGUGUCUACAGAUAAAACAGUAACAAAAUUUAUAAUAAAAUAAUAAACCGUAAUUGUUUUUUAA